rnacentral:lncRNA from 1 species
GGGGUUGUAGAGCUAAAAAAUUUGGAUAUCCAUGUUUAAUUAUAGUAUUAUGAAAUUGAGAUAUAAUGGAUCUUUAUAUUAUCUAAUGAUUUCAAUGCUAUAGAUGGUUCGCAUAUGAUUGUGAUCGACUAUAAUUAAUCGCAUGUUUUUAUACUGAUCAGAUUGAUAUCACAUAUUAUAUGAUACAUUUAAGUUAUAUA